ensembl:lncRNA
AUUUCAUUCUCAUAUUCAGGCACUCAGAUUCUACUAAAAGGCUUCCUGAUGUUUCCUCUUUGGGGUCUAGGAUUUGCCUGGCUGAUUUUUGGCUUGACCACUAAUUCUGAGCCUGCAGUGGGAGCUAAUGCAACCUCCAGAGAGGACUGUAAUCAAAGAGACUGCAAUGGAAUACAGUAUGACAUCCGAGAGGCUGUUUGCUGUGAAAAUAAGCUUCACCCUGGUGUAAGUCUAUUUUGCUGUGGAAAGGAGCCUUACAAUCCUGGAACAGCCACUUGUUGUAAAAUACGACAUGGACACAGCACCACAGCUGUUACACAGGGUCUAAGUGAAAAUGUGUCCAAGUGCUGUGACCUGAAGGCGUACAACCCAGUCAAUGAAAUAUGCUGUCAAUCAACCAUCGUAGCAAAACCUGGACCAAUGGCUGAAUGCUGUGGUAAAGAGGCUUAUGAUAAGGACAAGCAGUUGUGCUGUGGUCCGACUGAGAGCAAGAUGAUUCUGAUGAGGAAUUCCAGUCACCACCAGUGCUGUGGUCACAACCAGUAUGACACAGAGACUCAGUGCUGCUGUUCAAAUGAGGAAAGCGUGGAGAUACAAUCAAAGGAUUCAUCCUGUUGUUUCAAGGACUUUGGUGUAUCUGCAGCUCCUUUAUGUGGAAAUACGACCUUCAACAUACAUACGCAUUUAUGUUGUCAGUCAACUGUUGUUGCCAAAUCUUCACCACAGCACAGAUGUUGUGAUAAAGGGACAUAUGAUGUGGAAAAGGAGCUGUGUUGUGGUCCAAUUAACGAUAAGAAGAUCCUUAAAAGGAACUCUACAGAUCACCAAUGCUGUUAUCAUGACCAGUUCAACACAAAGACUGAGUGCUGUUGUUGGAAAAAGGAAAGUGCUGAAGUACAAUUGAAGAAUUCAUCUUGCUGUUCAGAGGAGUCAGCUGUGUUUGAAGGUCAAAGCAAGUCCAAGGUGGAUAACCAAGUCUGCUGUGAUGGCUGUGCAUCUGUGCAGAAGCCUUGGAUUAAUCAAUGCUGUGGAGAGACGCCGUAUGGCUCGGCACAGCGUGGAGUUCUCUGUUGUAAUAACAUCUUGUACGAGAACAGAGAUGAUGGAGAGGAAUGUUCAGAGACUGGUAUUCCUUACAACCUGGCUAAAGGGACUAUAUGCUGCUCUCAGUUUCACGGCAGCCCGGGAAAACACUGCUGUGGGACAGAAAUUUACCAUCCUGAUGCUGAGAUCUGCUGCAACGGACACAGGACAUUUGCUGCUCAAGUGAGGACAGAGAAGUGCUAUACUCUGCUAGGACAGGAUUCAGAUGCUGUGGUCACCUCUACUUCAACACCACCCUGUGGUCAUGCUGUGCCGAGCGGCUGAGAUCAAUCCAUGAACCAGGACAAGAUCAGAGGAAGAUGAGUAAUGGUCUGUCGUUUCUACUUAAAAGUCCUUUCACAAAGUAGAACUUCAUUUUGUGUCAUUUGAACUUAAUAGCACAGCUUAGAUCAUGUAUUUCACCUGUUCUGUGUCUAUAAUGGGUUUUUUUUUACAGAAUCCAGACUUCAAUCAGUGAAUAAUAUGAACAAAACUGAUCUUUGCAAAAAAAGUAGGAUAUCAGUCUAUAAGUAAUUUUUUAAAAAAACAUUGGAACAAAUGGUGUUUAGGAAUUUAUGGGGGUUUGUAAUGAAAUGUAUUUGUGUGCGUCUCUGUUUAGUGCGCAUCGGGACGGUGGAAAGUGUCUCUCUGCAUAGCAUUGUGUUCAAGAGCGUGCUGAAGAUCCGUGGGAAGAAGGCCAAAGUGAAAGCGUUGCCUUUCCCUUAUAUCUUGAAAACAGAUGAUCGCUGCAGCUCACCCAAACUGAUUCCUGGGAAGACCUACUUCUUUAACAAAGUUAAUGUUUUCACCGAUUCCAACCAUGACACUGUUCUUCAGUCACUCCACUUCAUUUUUUCCAAGUGUUCACCUUAGAUCACCAGUCGCUGAUGGAUACAUAUUACUUCUUACUCACACACCGAUUUACAUUUUUUCAUAACAGCUACUACAGAGAUGCGUUGUCACAUAACGGUCUGUUACCUCUAAAACAAUCAACCUUAAAGGUACUCAUCCUCAUAAAAAAAUUUCAACCUGACGUUUUACCAGCGAUACCAGUGGCAAAGUUGGUGAAAACCAACCCAAAGAGAUCUUUUCAGUUCAUCAUUGCUUUUCUUACUCAUUCAGACUCAAAAUUUGACCUGUUUGCUUCGAUUAGCAUGCACUCACCUUGAACAUUGCUCUGGAUCCCACAGAUCUUCAUGAGCUUUACUGAUCUUUAUGUUACUUUUUCAGAUUUUUGAAUAGGUUUGAGUUUGCAUUUGCAGCAGUGUUGCACUGCCAAAAAUUUUAGGCCAGUCACUUUUUUUUUCUACAAGAUGAGAUCAGUUAUUGUUGCACAAAUAACAGUUGGAGUUUUUUUGUUUGUUUAUUUUAAAAUUUUCUAUUAUACAGAUUAUGUAACUUGAGUAAAAACAAAAACACAGCUGGUUUGCUAGUAGCAGGCAACCAUUUACCUUAUUUAGAGACAAUGAUGCACAAUAUUACUGCAAUACAGACAAAUGUGAUGCGAGUAUACAAUGCAUUACUUUUUAUAUCACACCCACACUGCUUACUUAUUUCAUUAAGAAAAUCGCAUUGUGUUUCCAAAACAGCAGUAUCAGUUACUAGUGAUAUUACUUAUACAUUGUUAUCAAUAUAUUAUACAUUGUUUUUCAAAUAUUGUUUCACUUGUUACAUUACUCUGCUUGUAUUCAGCCAAACCAUGUUCCUCUUUGGUUUAAGAUGCCCCCAAAAGUCUCAUCACUGUGAGACUUUAUGUAAAGAUGUUUGAAAUGAGUAAGAACAAUGUACUUCAAAGUGUAAUAUUUACUGAACUUCAUAUUGUAGUCAGUCACACAACUUAAAGUAAUAACUGAGUGUAACACAGCCAAUUGGUACACAGUGUUGUUCAAAUCUAAAUCUGUAAUAUAUGCAAUAAUAGAAUAUGAUCACCAACUGCCAGUCUGAAACAAAAAGAAAAAGCUAAAGAAGCAAACAGUAUAUCAAAGCUUGUGCGAGUCUGGGAUCAGCAGUAACUGAUACCUUAGCAGUCAUUAUAGCAGGUAGCACACAAGAAUAGCAUACAGCUCUGUGCUCAAGCUACGCUGCUAUUAGCUAAUAUGGUCUUUAAAUAUUGGGGAUUAUUAUUUUUAUGCUAUUCUGAUUCUUGCACUAAACUAAAUUAUAAAUGGCGACUGUUUGCACAUCAUUAACCCAUAUAGUUGAAUUUAUACAUGUUCUAUUAAUGGCAUUCUCUUAUUUUUAUUCAUUAAGCUACUAGAUGUACUCAACUUGGCAUUUAUCGUGAAAUAUGCUUUAAGGACCCAAAAGACCACCCAGAGGUCACAUUUAAAUGUCUUGGGUUUGUUUACUUGUAACUACUCAUUUUUGUUCUCCUUGGUUUAAGCUACAUUUUUUUAUUCGGAAUAUGUUUGGCAUUUAUUUCACUGUAUGUUUCUUCACAAUAUAUAAGACACACCUUUAACCCAGAGAAACCCUGGAAAUGUUGAAGGCACGCAAUUUUAUAUUUUGCAUGUUUUAGUGAAAUUGUAGGAAGUACUGUCUUUUUAAGGAUAAAGCUUUGAAUAAAUAAAUAUAACAGCAUGUUGUGUUUUAUCUUAUUGAAUUGAUGGUCUUUAGGUUGGUCUUGCGAUUUAUUCAUGGAUCAAAAGAUAGUUCCAGCUGGAGAUGAAAUGAAUACAGAAAUACACAGAAAGUAGUGACUCUUGUGCCAAAAAUCCCCUGAAAUAUAGAUUUCAAAGUGACCUUUGAAAUUGACCUGGCCUCUUGUCCCCAGGCAACAGCUGUC